rnacentral:lncRNA from 1 species
AUGUCUUUGGGGACGUUAUUCCGUCUACACACGGGGACGAGGACGUGGGCGUCUUUGGGGACAUCAUUCUGUCUACACACGGGAAUCAGGACGCGGACGUCUUUGGGGACGUUACUCUGUCUACACACGGGGACGAGGACGUGGACGUCUUUGGGAACGUUACUCUGUCUACACAUGGGGACGAGGACGUGGGCGUCUUUGGGGACAUCAUUCUGUCUACACACGGGAAUCAGGACGCGGACGUCUUUGGGGACGUUACUCUGUCUACACAUGGGGACGAGAACGUGGGCGUCUUUGGGGAUGUCAUUCUGUCUACACACGGGGACGAGGACGUGGGUGUCUUUGGGGACGUUCUUCCGUCUACACACGGGGACGAGGACAAGGACAUGGGCGUCUUUGGGGACGUUCUUCCGUCUACACACGGGGACGAGGACGUGGGCGUCUUUGGGGACGUUCUUCCGUCUACACACGGGAACGAGGACGUGGGCGUCUUUGGGGACGUUCUUCCGUCUACACACGGGGACGAGGACGUGGGCGUCUUUGGGGACGUUCUUCCGUCUACACACGGGGACGAGGACGUGGGCGUCUUUGGGGACGUUCUUCCGUCUACACACGGGGACGAGGACGUGGGCGUCUUUGGGGACGUCAUUCUGUCUACACAAGGGGACAAGGACGUGGGCGUCUUUGGGGAUGUUCUUCUGUCUACACACGGGGACGAGGACGUGGGCGUCUUUGGGGACGUUCUUCCGUCUACACACGGGGACAAGGACGUGGGCAUCUUUGGGGAUGUUCUUCCGUCUACACACGGGGACGAGGACGUGGGCGUCUUUGGGGACGUUCUUCCAUCUACACACGGGGACAAGGACGUGGGUGUCUUUGGGGACGUUCUUCUGUCUACACACGGGGAUGAGGACGUGGGCGUCUUUGGGGACGUUCUUCUGUCUACACACGGGGACGAGGACGUGGACGUCUUUACGGACGUUAUUCCGUCUACACACGGGGACGAGUCCCGUUUUUGCAGGCUGA